GGAGCCCGCGCCUGGGGGCGGUGCGUACCUGACAGACGGGUGAAGAGCGGGUGUGUGGAAAUACACAGGCAGCGCCUGCCGGUCAUAUGUAACAGUAGUAAUUAUAUCACACGGCUCAGAAGACUGGCAGGCACGAGAGGGGCUGAAUUCCUAGAAAUGAGGUGGAGAGCAAGGUUUCCUUUAAAAGGAUCUCAAACCUACUAUUCUUAACAAUACAGUUCUUUACUAAAGGAGUCCAUUUCCAGAUUUCAUUGCUGGAUGUACAAGUUGAACUUAGGAAAAAAAGGUAUGGUGGUGUAAUUUAGGUUUCGGACUGGGACUGAGGAUCCCAUUCCUAGUUCUACCACAGACUUCCUAUGUGCUCUUCAGCAAGUCACUCAGGGCAUGUCUAUGAUAUUGCAUCAGUGGCAUGCCCGAGCUAGGACAGACUCAAGCCUUUCUCUGCUGAGCUGCAACUACAGGCAUUCUCCAAACCCAGAAGUCUGAUGGUGAGACUGCCCUGAGUGUCCGUCCCUCUGAGACUGUUCUUGAACUCUUGAUUUCUUGUGUACUUGAGAGUGGCCACUGAAGAUAAACUUGAAACAGACUUACCAGCAUGCUAAAAUUGAAGUGUGCCUGCAGACAUGGAUGGGCACAGCCAAUUCCAUCUUUGCUGACCAGGACAUACUAUCACUAUGGUGUGCACAAGCUCCAGAAAUUCUCAACCAGGGUACUGGGGUACUGUGGGGUGCUGCAAGAUCUUUUGAAGGGUGCCAGGAGGAGUGAGUGUAGCAGAAAGCCCCUUUUCCUCUUGCCUGCAGUUGCUCUCCCCUCCUUGGAUAUGUUUUUCCUCUUCUACCUUUUCUUCCUUCCUCUUUCUUUCACUUUAAGAUAAGGAAUUGUGUUUUGAAAUUUGUAUAUGUGCAUUUUGUAUCUCCCCUUGUAUUUUGGUAUUUUUAUCUAUUUGUGUGCCAUGGCAUUACUUUUGUAGCUUAAAUUUUAUACUCCUCACCUUUCAACUUUCAACUAAAUGUGUUUAGUUUCAUAAGUAAGUUAUACAUUGUAACAAUGUUAACAAGGGCAGGAAUCAAACUACCCUUCCCUGUAUCAGGCUGGCCCCUGAAAGAGCGAGUGAAUCAGUGAUUGAAUGUGUAACACGGUAGCAGGCAGUAAUUAACACCUAAGAAAACUGCAGAUCAACCAACGGAAGAACUCAAUAGAAGACAAUGUAACAACCGGGAAAUCUCUAAACCUCACUGAUCAAGGGCUAGAAGCCCUGGCCUGAGUUAAUCAACGCCGGGGACCAACUUUUGGGCUGAAUAUCUCCAAAUCGACCACUCCCUGAGCCCUAUUCAAAAUUCAUCAACAGACUCCCAAACCUGCACGUACAUGCGGACGACCCCUGGGGCUGACAGGUGCCAUCCAGUAGCCACAGAGGGGGGAAGUCCCACGAGGGUCAAUGACCCCUGGAUUGGGCAAACCUGAAAACUGGGGAGUCACCAAAGUCUGCUAAAGAUAGAUAAAAAGCAGUGAAAAGUGACCCUCAGUGGCGCCCUCUUGAUCUCCAACUUGACCAGCACCCGACCUGUCCAGCCAGAAGGACCAGCCGGCGACCCCCUUCUGGAAGAUAACACCACGCUGAAAGAAGCCUCAACGACAGACUCCAGCGCCUGUGGAAUAGGUAUACCUGACUCUUGUAGCUUGCUACUGUGUGUGUGUGUGUGUGUGUGUGUGUGGACCAGCCCCAAGUUUAUGAUUUAUGUAAUGAGUUUAUGAUUUAACUCAUUACAGUGUUUCAAUCCGCCUAAUAAACCAGAAUUUUAAGGA